AGCAGCUUGUCACAACACGGACAUCAUCUGGCUUUCAUGAGAGGAGAUUCUGCUUGUGAGCACGUUCAGCUACUGCUAAGAUCCGAAACCAGCUAAGGGCUAGGAGAGGCUGGGCAAGAUCAUCGAUAUGGUUAGAAUCACUGAAGUCUCCUCGAGACCAGAGUCCAGCUUGCAAGAGAAAAAUAAACCAUGACCUUUAUCCUCACUGAA